rnacentral:rRNA from 1 species
CACGGGUGAGUAACACGUAUCCAACCUGCCGUCUACUCUUGGACAGCCUUCUGAAAGGAAGAUUAAUACAAGAUGGCAUCAUGAGUCCGCAUGUUCACAUGAUUAAGGGUAUUCCGGUAGACGAUGGGGAUGCGUUCCAUUAGAUAGUAGGCGGGGUAACGGCCCACCCAGUCUUCGAUGGAUAGGGGUUCUGAGAGGAAGGUCCCCCACAUUGGAACUGAGACACGGUCCAA